AGCCAGGAGCGCCUCUAUCUCAGCUGCUCAGCCACCCUCUGGCUCCCUACCCAGCUCUUCCCUGGCUGGGCUGCAUUUAUCUCCCUGGGGCCCAUCUUUCUGCUUGGGGCCUUACAGAGCCCAGGACCCAUGCAGGGCCUGCCCAGGACAGCGGUAAUCCACAUUUGCUGGAUGAAUGGAAAACUGAGUUCCUGACUGACAGGUUUUUGAAGGGACAGCUUGGCAGGAGCUGCCAGCAUGGGUGUGAGGGCAGAGGCUCUGUAAGAGUUGCAGCUGGGCACCCGCACCUGCUCACACGCUCCCAUCCCCUCGGUGACCUCCCCUCUGAGCUGCCACCUCCUUACAUGCUCAGGCACUGGACACCCCAUUGGAGCCUGGCGUCUACUUUGCUCUGGUCCACAGUGAUACUCCAUGCUCAGCGUCCACACGCGUGGGGUGGGUACCCACAUGCACCUGGACGUCUCCCUCCAUCCUGCCUUCUGCUGGGAUUUUACUUUCUCCACCAAGACAUCAAUUCCUUACCGUGAGUGCUCGAGAAAUCAGCCUGCAAAGGAUGAGCAAGUGGAGAAAGGUGGAGAAACCAAGAGCCCGUGAGGAACAGUGGCUCGUCCAUGGAUGCAAGGCAAGUCCGGCAGGCCGGAGAAAGCACUCUCUGCCAGGGCCAGCCCACCCGACUCACGUCACCUGCUGCUCUUUCAGGAAGGCUGCCCCUCCUGACUCUCAGAAGGGAGGCACACAGGCAGGACAGCCUCCCACCACCCUGGGACAGGCCCACCUCCCGUGGAGGUCUCUCCCAUCACUGCUCCUCAAGACAGCCUCCCCUCCCCCAAUCCUGCCUGGCCUUCCCCUCCCUGCAACAACAGUUUAGCCAGAGACACAAGAGAUUUUUGGAGACAACUGCUUCAAACCUCUCAUCCCAGCUUCAUUGUCGCAUUCAGACCUGCCUUGUCCCAAAAAGAAUUCGCAGCAGUGCCCAGAAAUAAACAUGUAUAGCUAAAAAA